ACUCAAAGGAAUUGACGGGGGCCCGCACAAGCGGCGGAGCAUGCGGAUUAAUUCGAUGCAACGCGAAGAACCUUACCAAGGCUUGACAUACGCAGAAAACCGGCAGAGAUGUCGGGUCCGCAAGGGCUGCGUACAGGUGGUGCAUGGUUGUCGUCAGCUCGUGUCGUGAGAUGUUGGGUUAAGUCCCGCAACGAGCGCAACCCUUAUUCGAUGUUGCCAGCACGUUAUGGUGGGGACUCAUCGGAGACUGCCGGGGUCAACUCGGAGGAAGGUGGGGAUGAGGUCAAAUCAUCAUGCCCCUUAUGUCUUGGGCUUCACGCAUGCUACAAUGGCCGGUACAAAGGGCUGCGAAACCGCAAGGUGGAGCGAAUCCCAAAAAGCCGGUCUCAGUUCGGAUCGGGGUCUGCAACUCGACCCCGUGAAGUCGGAGUCGCUAGUAAUCGCAGAUCAGCAACGCUGCGGUGAAUACGUUCCCGGGCCUUGUACACACCGCCCGU
rnacentral:rRNA from 1 species